AGCGGCGGACGGGUGAGUAACGCGUGGGUAACCUGCCUCAUACAGGGGGAUAACAGCUGGAAACGGCUGCUAAUACCGCAUAAGCGCACAGUACCGCAUGGUACGGUGUGAAAAACCCCGGUGGUAUGAGAUGGACCCGCGUCUGAUUAGGUAGUUGGUGGGGUAACGGCCUACCAAGCCGACGAUCAGUAGCCGACCUGAGAGGGUGACCGGCCACAUUGGGACUGAGACACGGCCCAG
rnacentral:rRNA from 1 species